rnacentral:rRNA from 1 species
AUUACAAUUUCACACAGGAAACAGCUAUGACCAUGAUUACGCCAAGCUAUUUAGGUGACACUAUAGAAUACUCAAGCUAUGCAUCCAACGCGUUGGGAGCUCUCCCAUAUGGUCGACCUGCAGGCGGCCGCGAAUUCACUAGUGAUUAGAGUUUGAUCCUGGCUCAGAUUGAACGCUGGCGGCAGGCUUAACACAUGCAAGUCGAACGGUAACAGAACUAGCUUGCUAGUUGCUGACGAGUGGCGGACGGGUGAGUAACGCGUAGGAAUCUACCGAGUAGUGGGGGACAACAGUUGGAAACGACUGCUAAUACCGCAUAAUCCCUGAGGGGGAAAGGAGGGGAUCUGUUUACAGACCUUUCGCUAUUUGAUGAGCCUGCGUGAGAUUAGCUAGUUGGUGAGGUAAUGGCUCACCAAGGCGACGAUCUCUAGCUGGUCUGAGAGGAUGAUCAGCCACACUGGAACUGAGACACGGUCCAGACUCCUA